UCCGAGUUGACCCCGGCAGUCUCCUACGAGUCCCCGGCAUAAUCCGCUGGCAACAUAGGACAAGGGUUGCGCUCGUUGCGGGACUUAACCCAACAUCUCACGACACGAGCUGACGACAGCCAUGUAGCACCUGUGCAUGGAUCCCGAAGGAGGCUUCUGGUUUCUCAGAAGUUUUCCAUGCAUGUCAAGCCUAGGUAAGGUUCUUCGCGUUGCGUCGAAUUAAACCACAUGCUCCACCGCUUGUGCGGGCCCCCGUCAAUUCCUUUGAGUUUCAGCCUUGCGGCCGUACUCCCCAGGCGGGGUACUUCCUGCGUUAGCGCCGGCACCCAGGGGGUCGCUCCCCCAGGCACCUAGUACCCAUCGUUUACGGCGUGGACUAC
rnacentral:misc_RNA from 1 species